AUGUGGAGUUAAUCAAAAUUAGAUUUUCUAUUUUAUGAUUUACUAUGAUUUUUCAAAGAUUCAGCCAAAUAAAUAAAAACAAUAAAGACAAAACCUUUAUAGCAAAAACUUUAUACUAAAUCAUACUAUAUUAUAUGUUUACUGUAUAGAUCUACUUAUGUGGAGACAAAAAAAUAGAUUUUCUAUUUUAUGAUUUUUCUGUGAUUUACUAUGAUUUUUCAAAGAUUCAGAUAAAAAAAUUUAAAAAUAAAAAGACAAAACCACCUUCACUGUAGCAAAACCGCCUUCGAAACCGCUCC
rnacentral:lncRNA from 1 species